rnacentral:rRNA from 1 species
GACGAGGGGUCCAAGCGUUGUUCGGAAUCAUUGGGCGUAAAGCGGGUGUAGGCGGCUCUAUAAGUCAGGAGUGAAAGCCCCGAGCUUAACUUGGGAAGUGCUUUUGAUACUGCAGAGCUUGAAUGUGGGAGAGGUUAGUGGAAUUCAGGUGUAGUGGUGAAAUACGUAGAUAUCUGGAGGAACACCGGUGGCGAAGGCGGCUAACUGGCCCAACAUUGACGCUGAGACCCGAAAGCAUGGGGAUCAAACAGG